GACCAGCCUUGCAACAGAAGUUGGACGUUUUUUAAAGGCUCUUGCGCUCGGCGAGGGGAGCAGAUAGAUACUCAGGAGUGAAAGACGGAAAGAAUCGGAUCUGGCGCCUCCUAACGCAGCCCGCACAGGAGCGAAGGAGAUCCUGGAGGAGGCUCAGCCCCAGGCUGGAGGGGGCAAGGGAAGUUUGGCAACGGCGGGAGGCAGAGAAACCGACUCAACAUCGAGUGGAUUUGAAAUCCUUUUGAGGGAGCACAGAGGCCAAACUUUGAGCCACCCUGAACUUGAGUUUCGCUGUUGUUACCCAGACUGGAGUGCAAUGGCACGAUCUCGGCUCACCGCAACCUCCGCCUUCUGGGUUCAAGCAAUUCUCCUGCCUCAGCCUCCCAAGUAGCUGGGACUACAGGCGCGCACCACCAUGCCCAGCCUCCUGCAUCCUAAUUCUUUGACCAUGAAAACCUUCAAGAUCACUCACAAAAGCUGCCUCCCAGAUGUCUUGUGGAGCUGGCACAGGGCUGGCCGGGAGAGGGAUUCUAAGUCAGGACACACGGAAGGACUUACAGGGAAGCUGCCACUAGCUCCAUACAAGGACAACUUUUGAAGUAUCAAGACAACCGGUCAGUCAUGCUCAGCUUCUAGAAGGAGUGAGCUUCCUGUCACCAGGGGUAUGAGAACAUUGUAGUAGCCAGGCUUGGUGGUGCAUGCCUGAUGAGCCCAGGAGUCCGAAUGCAGCCUGGGCAACACAAUGAGACCCCUGUCUCCCCACCACCAAAAGAAAAGGGUAGGGAAAAGUUACUAACCAUGGACCCCUCCAGGAUCCUGGGGCAGGAGGCAGGGAUGGCCCAGACACCCCACCCGUGUCUGGAUAUUUUAUUACUUCUGAUCUGUGCAGAUUGGGAAAUUCAAACCACAGAGAAUUAGGAGAGGAGUGAGGGUGGUGACAUAGGAGCUGGAGAGAGGAAACCCUCUCCACCCUAAAGCCCCUUCUGAGUCACCACUCCCAGACCCUCUGUUCCUCUUAAAUCAGCAGAUCUCUCCUCCCAGCUUCCAGCCUCUUUCCCCUCCAGAACUCAGGACCCCUUAGCUGCGAAAUGUUGUGUGUUCCUAGUCCUGAACUGGGGCUUUCUGGGAACCAAGGACAUUGCAUUAUUUUGUUCAUUGAACCUGUUUCCAUUGACAGUAGCCAGUGGGAGGCCCUGAGGUGAUAGCGAUGUGAUUUAUUGAUUCAUUGAUUGAGAUAGAGUCUUCCUCUGUUGCCAAGGCUGAAGUUCAGUGGCAGGAUCUCAGUUCACUGCAACUUCCACCUCCCGGGUUCAAGCAAUUCUGUCUCCGCCUCCGGAGGAGCUGGUAUUAUAGGGCCGGCCAUCACACCAAGCUAGUUUCUUUCUUCCUUUUUUUUUUUUUAACACAGGGUCUUGCUGUCACCCAGGCUGGAGUCCAGUGGUGUGAUCUCUGCUCACCGCAACCUCCGCCCCUCUAGAGUCAAGCACUUCUGCCUCAGCCUCCUAAGUAGUGGGGAUUAUAGGCACGUACCACCAAGCCCGGCCAAUUUUUGUAUUUUUAGUAGAAAUGAAGUUUCACCAUGUUGACCAGGCUUGUCUUGAACUGACCUUGUGAUCCACCCGCCUUAGCCUCCCAAAGUGCUGGAAUUACAGCUAUGAGCCACUGUGCCUGACCAAAUUUUAAACUUUUUAGUGGAGACAGUUUUGCCAUGUUGGCCAGGCUGGUCUCGAACUCCUGACCUCAAGUGAUCCACCUCGGCCUCCCAAAGCGUUGGGAUUAUAGGCAUAAGUCACUGCACCCAGCUGCACCACAACGAAAUAAUUAAUUAAUAAAUUACAGGCAUUAUUAUUUAUUUAGUUUAUUUAUUUGAGACAAGAUCUCCCCUUAUUGUCUAAGUUGGAGGACGGGGUGCAAUCACUGCAGCCUCCAUCACAAGAAGCUGGGAGUACAGGCUCAGGCCACCAUGCCUGGCUAAUUUGUUUAUUUAUUUAUUUUGAGAUGGAGUUUCUCUUUGUUGCCCAAGCUGGAGUCCAGUGGCGCAAUCUUGGCUCACUGCAACCUCUGCGUCCCAAGUUCAAGCCAUUCUCCUGCCUCAGCCUCCCAAGUAGCUGGGACAACAGGUGCUAUCUGAAAAAAAAGGCCAUCUAAAAAAAAGACAGAGUCUCACUCUUUUACCAUGUUGGUCAGGCUGGUCUUAAACUCCUGACCUCGUGAUCUGCCUGCCUCAGCCUCCCAAAGUGCUGGGAUUACAGGCGUCAGCCAUGGUGCCUAGUGAGACUCCAUCUUAAAAAAAUAAAUAAAUAAAAUAAAAUGUUUAAACAGGCUGGGCACAGUGGCUCAUGCUUGUAAUUCUAGCACUUUGGGAGGCCCACAUAGGAGGAUCCCUCAACCCCAGGAGUUUGAGACCAGCAUGAGCAACAUGGUGAGAUGCUGUCACUAUUUAUUUAUUUAUUCAUUCAUUCAUUUGAGACAGAGUCUCCCUCUGUCACCCAGGCUGGAGUCCAGUGGUUUGAUCUCCACUCAUUGCAACCUUUACCUCCUGGGUUCAAUCGUUUCUCCUGCCUCAGCCUCCCUAGUUGCGGGGAUUACAGGCAUAUUCCACCACGCCUGGCUAAUUUUUUUUUUAUUUUUGAGACGGAGUUUCGCUGUUGUUACCCAGACUGGAGUGCAAUGGCAUGAUCUCGGCUCACCGCAACCUCCGCCUUCUGGGUUCAAGCAAUUCUCCUGCCUCAGCCUCCGGAGUAGCUGGGACUACAGGCACGCACCACCAUGCCCAGCUAAUUUUUGUAUUUUUAGUAGAGACGGGGUUUCACCUUGUUGACCAGGAUGGUCUCGAUCUCUUGACCUCGUGAUCCGCCCGCCUCAGCCUCCCAAAGUGCUGGGAUUACAGGCUUGAGCCACCGCGCCCGGCCAUUUUUUUGUAUUUUUAGUAGGGAUAGGGGUUUCACCAAGUUGGCCAGGCUGGUCUAGACCUCCUGACCUUAGGUGACCCACCUGCCUUGGCCUCCCAAAGCGCUGUGGUGACAGGUGUGAGCCUCCACACCCAGCCACACUUUUGUUUUUAAUGCUUAAACAGAUGAAGGCACAUACAUAAACUAGAUGAUUUCAGAUGCUAUAGUGGUCACAGGUAUAAAGGGAAGAAAUCAAGUUGAGGUGACAGAUUGUGACGCUGGGGCUACUUCAGUAGAGAGGGAAGGUCUCUCUGGAGGUGCUAUUUGAGCUGAGACACAAAUGCUGAGCAAAAGGGAUUAGAAGUACAAAAGCCACCCAAGAAACAAGGCCAAUGGAGUGGGAUUUCAAAUUCCAAGUCCCCCAUCUUCAUUUUUGUUGCACCUUUUUUUUUUUCUCUCUCGUUUUUUUUUUUAAGACGAGGUUUCACUAUGUUGGUCAGGCUGGUCUUGAACUCCCAACCUCAGGUGAUCCGCCCACCUUGGCCUCCGAAGUGCUUGGAUUACAGGCGUGAGCCACCACGCCCAGCCUUUUUUUCUCUUUUUUUGAGAUAGAGUCUUGGCUGGAGUGCAGUGGCACUCUCGGCUCACUGCAACCUCUGCCUCCCGGGUUCAAGCAAUAAUCCUGCUUCAGCCUCCCAAGUAGCUGGAUUUACAGGCGUGUGCCACCCCACACCUGGCUAAUUUUUGUAUUUUUCUAGUAGAGACAGGGGUUUCACAAUGUUGGCAAGGCUGGUCUCGAACUCCUGACCUUGUGAUGUGCACGCCUCAGCCUCCCAAAGGGCUGAGAUUACAGGCGUGAACCACCGUGCCCCACCCCCAUUUUCAUUUCAAAAACGCCAAUAAAAUCCUCUGGGGGAGCCAGAGACUUUUUUGGGGUUGAAGUUUUCAACCUCUAACGGUUGGGUAGGGGCACGCCUCCUAGUGGCGAGAAGAGUUAAGUUUCACCUCGCUGACCUGCAAUGUCACAUGCUUGUCACUCAUUCCUGUCUCUCCCAUAUUUAUUCACUCAACAAAAAAUUAGAGCACGGAUUGUGUGCCAAGGAAUAUUCUAGAUGCUGAGGAUGGAGCUAUGAAGCUGACAGUAAAGGUCCCUGUCCUGGAGCUGCUCUCCUAGGAGAUAUUCCCUAGCACAGUCCCUGCACACGCCCCUACCUCACCUCUGCUCCCCAAAAUUGUCCUUCCGAUGCUCCAACAGCCAAAUAUCCCUGCUUCAGAGUCUUGGCAUGAGCAGUUCUUUCGCUACCCUGGAAAGCUAAAUACUGUCUGUUUGCAUGGCGGGCUCUGGUCUCAGCUAAAAUGUGAGCUAAGUCAGAAAGGUGUGACCUUUAUUUCCUGUCCUUCUCCACCCCCCACUGAUACAUAAGAUUCCAUGAAGGUUAUCAUUUUCCUGGAAUCCUCAACAUAGCACUUAAUAGUUGCUCAGAAGACAGCUGCUGAAUGGGUUUGAGCAUUCACUGGUUCAAAAAAUAUCAGCAACUGGUCACCCCAGUACAUAUCAGAUGCUGGUGAACACAGGUGAACAAGGUGGUCAAGAGACCAAAAAAUCCCUACCAAGAAAGAAAGAAAAGAAAGAAAGAAAAAGCUCCCUGCCCUGAAUCUGUGUAUUUUAAAAUUAAAAUUUCAGCUCCCGCAUUAUUCACUUCCUUUAGCCUGCUUUACUUACUUACUUACUUAUUUUUGAGACGGAGU